rnacentral:rRNA from 1 species
CCUACGGGAGGCAGCAGUGGGGAAUUUUGGACAAUGGGCGAAAGCCUGAUCCAGCAAUGCCGCGUGUGGGAAGAAGGCCUUCGGGUUGUAAACCACUUUUGUACGGAACGAAACGGUUCGCUUUAAUACAGUGGGCUAAUGACGGUACCGUAAGAAUAAGCACCGGCUAACUACGUGCCAGCAGCCGCGGUAAUACGUAGGGUGCGAGCGUUAAUCGGAAUUACUGGGCGUAAAGCGUGCGCAGGCGGUUAUAUAAGACAGUUGUGAAAUCCCCGGGCUCAACCUGGGAAUUGCAUCUGUGACUGUAUAGCUAGAGUACGGUAGAGGGGGAUGGAAUUCCGCGUGUAGCAGUGAAAUGCGUAGAUAUGCGGAGGAACACCGAUGGCGAAGGCAAUCCCCUGGACCUGUACUGACGCUCAUGCACGAAAGCGUGGGGAGCAAACAGGAUUAGAUACCCUGGUAGUCCACGCCCUAAACGAUGUCAACUGGUUGUUGGGUGCAUUAGUACUCAGUAACGAAGCUAACGCGUGAAGUUGACCGCCUGGGGAGUACGGCCGCAAGGUUGAAACUUAAAGGAAUUGACGG